rnacentral:rRNA from 1 species
CCUACGGGGGGCAGCAGUGGGGAAUAUUGGGCAAUGGAGGAAACUCUUACCCAGCAAUGCCGCGUGAAUGAUGAAGGUCUUCGGAUUGUAAAGUUCUUUUCUAUGGGACGAAGAAAGUGACGGUACCUUAGGAAUAAGCCUCGGCUAACUACGUGCCAGCAGCCGCGGUAAUACGUAGGAGGCAAGCGUUAUUCGGAAUGACUGGGCGUAAGGGGUGCGUAGGCGGUUUGCAAAGUUGGUGGUGAAAUUCCUAGGCUUAACAUAGGUUCUGCUUCCAAAACUGCUAGACUUGAGUGCAGGAGAGGAAAGUGGAAUUCCUAGGGUAGCGGUGGAAUGCGUAGAUAUUAGGAGGAACAUCAGUGGCGAAGGCGAUUUGCUGGACUGUAACUGACACUGAGGCACGAAAGUGUGGGGAGCAAACAGGAUUAGAUACCCCUGUAGUC